AUUGGACCUCAUUCAUUGUAUGUUAGUCCUCACUAAAUCAAUUAAUGUUUAACAUAAUGUCACCUCCUCCACAUUAUAAUGAGACACACAUUAACUGAUCAAUCAUUAGCUGAUACUAAUGGACUAAUGUUCAUAUACUGUAUAUUACAUACAGUCACUAGUCAAUAGUGUCUGCUGGAGUAGAGGAGGAGGUGUCUGUUAUAAGGAGUGUAUCUGUUAAUAGUAUCACAUUGUACUAAUAAUAGUGAUAAUAGUAUUUAAUAAUAAUUGUUUUUAAUAGUUGUUUGUCGUUCCCAAACUGUUUGACUCCUCCCACUACUGUCACUAGUAAUGUUAUCAUUAUCUUCAAUGAGACACAGGAUAUAUUAUAAUAAUUGUUAGUUUUAUAGUAACUGCUGGUAGUUCCUCAACACAGCUGCUACUAGGACCAAUCUGCAGGAAGAGACACACAGUACAUAUAUGGUACACUACUCAAUUGUGUCUGCUGGAGUAGAGGAGGAGGUGUGUCUGUUAUAAGGAGUGUAUCUGUUAAUAGUAUCACAUUGUACUAAUAAUAGUGAUAAUAGUAUUUAAUAAUAAUUGUUUUUAAUAGUUGUUUGACGUUCCCAAACUGUUUGACUCCUCCCACUACUGUCACUAGUAAUGUUAUCAUAUCUUCAAUGAGACACAGGAUAUAUUAUAAUAAUUGUUAGUUUUAUAGUAACUGCUGGUAGUUCGUCAACAACAACGACUAAUGAAGACCAAUCAUCUAUUAAUAAAUGAUUCAGUCACUAAUGUACAUUAUAUACUUGAUGUUAUAAAUAGGAACUACUAUCAAUAUUGGACCUCAUUCAUUGUAUGUUAGUCCUCACUAAAUCAAUUAAUGUUUAACAUAAUGUCACCUCCUCCACUUUAUAAUGAGACACACAUUAACUGAUCAAUCAUUAGCUGAUACUAAUGGGCUAAUGUUCAUAUACUGUAUAUUACAUACAGUCACUAGUCAAUAAAGAAAAUGGUGCAUUUUAGCCUGAUUCCUCCAAUUUAAGGAGAUUUCCAUAUAAAGGACAGUGGGCUGCCCAUAGGUGUCGACCCUCUUAGAGAAAGUUUUUUAACAACAGCUGCUACUAUAAAGAUUAAUACCCAAAAGUAUUGAGCAACUAUCUAUGGUAUCUGGUAAUGGGGAGGCCUAGAUAUGCUGUUAUCUUUGGUAAUAGUUUGUCAACAACACCUGCUACUAAAAAUUAAUACUCAAAGUAUUGAGCAGCCAUUUAUCACUGGACUAAUGGGGAGGUACAUGGCGACAUUUGACUAUCCCAAAUUCAAUUGGCAAAUGCACUACUCAAAGUUCUAGCAAUCAGAAUGAAACUUGGCAGAGACAGAGGUAGACUAGUAG